rnacentral:sRNA from 1 species
AUUGCUCCGCAUUGGGGAAGGAUGAGAAGCUUCGACCAAGGUUCGAGUCUCACGCAGUGAGACAACGCGCUUCAGUGAGGCGCGCAGCGACGAAUCAUCCUUCCCCCACCACCA